UACGGAGGGUGCGAGCGUUGUCCGGAAUCACUGGGCGUAAAAGGCGCGUAGGCGGCCUGAUAAGUAGGGGGUGAAAUCCUGCGGCUUAACCGCAGGGCUGCCUUCUAAACUGUCAGGCUAGAGCACAGUAGAGGCAGGUGGAAUUCCCGGUGUAGCGGUGGAAUGCGUAGAGAUCGGGAAGAACAUCAGUGGCGAAGGCGGCCUGCUGGGCUGUUGCUGACGCUGAGGCGCGACAGCGUGGGGAGCAAACAGG
rnacentral:rRNA from 1 species